rnacentral:lncRNA from 10 species
GUAGUCAAUGAGGGCUGGGCACAGUGGCUCACACCUGUAAUCUCAGCACUUUGGGAGGCCAAGGAGGGCGGAUGACUUGAGGGUCCUGGUCCUGGACAAAGGAGUAGUAGCUGAAUUUGAUUCUCCAGCCAACCUCAUUGCAGCUAGAGGCAUCUUCUACGGGAUGGCCAGAGAUGCUGGACUUGCCUAAAAUAUAUUCCUGAGAUUUCCUCCUGGCCUUUCCUGGUUUUCAUCAGGAAGGAAAUGACACCAAAUAUGUCCGCAGAAUGGACUUGAUAGCAAACACUGGGGGCACCUUAAGAUUUUGCACCUGUAAAGUGCCUUACAGGGUAACUGUGCUGAAUGCUUUAGAUGAGGAAAUGAUCCCCAAGUGGUGAAUGACACGCCUAAGGUCACAGCUAGUUUGAGCCAGUUAGACUAGUCCCCGGUCUCCCGAUUCCCAACUGAGUGUUAUUUGCACACUGCACUGUUUUCAAAUAACGAUUUUAUGAAAUGACCUCUGUCCUCCCUCUGAUUUUUCAUAUUUUCUAAAGUUUCGUUUCUGUUUUUUAAUAAAAAGCUUUUUCCUCCUGGAACAGAAGACAGCUGCUGGGUCAGGCCACCCCUAGGAACUCAGUCCUGUACUCUGGGGUGCUGCCUGAAUCCAUUAAAAAUGGGAGUACUGAUGAAAUAAAACUACAUGGUCAACA